rnacentral:rRNA from 1 species
CCAAUAGCGUAUAUUAAAGUUGCUGCAGUUAAAAAGCUCGUAGUUGAAUUUCGGGACUAAUAUGUCGGUCGUGCUUCGGUACGUACUGGUAUUUUUGGUUUCUCCCUUCUGACGAACCUUGAUGUCAUUAAUUUGGUGUCUUGGGAAAUCAGGACUGUUACUUUGAAAAAAUUAGAGUGUUUAAAGCAGGCUCACGCUUGAAUACAUUAG